GGGGCAACUCCGCGAGUAAAGUGGCGACCGGGUGAGUAACACGUGACUAACCUACCCUCGAGCGGGGGAUAACCCCGGGAAACCGGGGCUAAUACCGCAUAACGUCUUCGAUGCGAAAGUAUUGAGGAUCAAAGGAGCAAUUCACUUGAGGAGGGGGUCGCGGCCGAUUAGCUAGUUGGCGGGGUAACGGCCCACCAAGGCUGAGAUCGGUAGCCGGCCUGAGAGGGCGCACGGCCACACUGGAACUGAAACACGGUCCAGACUCCUACGGGAGGCAGCAGUGGGGAAUUUUGCGCAAUGGGGGGAACCCUGACGCAGCAACGCCGCGUGGAGGAUGAAGUCCCUUGGGACGUAAACUCCUUUCGACCGGGAAGAUAAUGACGGUACCGGAAGAAGAAGCACCGGCUAACUCUGUGCCAGCAGCCGCGGUAAUACAGAGGGUGCGGGCGUUGUUCGGAAUUAUUGGGCGUAAAG
rnacentral:rRNA from 1 species